rnacentral:rRNA from 1 species
AUGAACGCUGGCGGCGUGCCUAAUACAUGCCAGUCGAGCGAACAGACGAGGAGCUUGCUCCUCUGACGUUAGCGGCGGACGGGUGAGUAACACGUGGAUAACCUACCUAUAAGACUGGGAUAACUUCGGGAAACCGGAGCUAAUACCGGAUAAUAUAUUGAACCGCCUGGUUCAAUAGUGAAAGACGGUUUUGCUGUCACUUAUAGAUGGAUCCGCGCCGCAUUAGCUAGUUGGUAAGGUAACGGCUUACCAAGGCAACGAUGCGUAGCCGACCUGAGAGGGUGAUCGGCCACACUGGAACUGAGACACGGUCCAGACUCCUACGGGAGGCAGCAGUAGGGAAUCUUCCGCAAUGGGCGAAAGCUUGGCGGAGCAACGCCGCGUGAGUGAUGAAGGUCUUCGGAUCGUAAAACUCUGUUAUUAGGGAAGAACAAAUGUGUAAGUAACUAUGCACGUCUUGACGGUACCUAAUCAGAAAGCCACGGCUAACUACGUG